rnacentral:rRNA from 1 species
UACGGAGGGUGCGAGCGUUGUCCGGAAUCACUGGCGUAAAGGGCGCGUAGGCGGUUUCGUAAGCGUGCGGUGAAAGCCCGGGGCUCACCCCGGGUCGGCCGUGCGGACUGCGAGACUUGAGCACUGUAGAGGCAGAUGGAAUUCCGGGUGUAGCGGUGGAAUGCGUAGAGAUCCGGAAGAACACCGGUGGCGAAGGCGGUCUGCUGGGCAGUUGCUGACACUGAGGCGCGACAGCGUGGGGAGCAAACAGGG